rnacentral:rRNA from 1 species
AUUCCAGCUCCAAUAGCGUAUAUUAAAGUUGUUGCAGUUAAAAAGCUCGUAGUUGGAGUUCAGGGUGAGCUCAGCUGGUCGGCCUAAUGGGUCAGAACUGGUUGACUCUCCCUUGGUUGUGGAUCCCUCCGGAGUUAAUUCUUCGGGUGUGGAGUCCACAUCGUUUACCUUGAAAAAAUUAGAGUGUUCAAAGCAGGCGUUUGCUUGAAUAUAUUAGCAUGGAAUAAUGGAAUAGGACGCUGGUUCUAUUUUGUUGGUUUUGAGAACCAGAGUAAUGAUUAAUAGGGAUAGUUGGGGGCAUUAGUACUUAACUGUCAGAGGUGAAAUUCUCCGAUUUGUUAAAGACUAACUUAUGCGAAAGCAUUUGCCAAGGAUGUUUUCAUUG